rnacentral:lncRNA from 1 species
GGAAUCAGAGAAAUCAACGGGGACCACGGUGUGGUCGGAGCUGAGGAGGUCCUUGCUGGUGACAUCUAGGGUUUGGUCGGAGUGGCACUUGGCGCGGAGGUGAAACUCGACGGAGCAGAACUCGCACUGUCCGUCACCGUCGCAGGCGUCGCAGUCACGUGAGAAGCGCAUGCUCAUGGCCCGGUCGGAGGUGAGGGGGAUGAGACCGAGUCGGUGGGCGAUGAACUCGUCGUUGAGGACGGAGGAGUUGAUCUCGAUCUCGACAAGAUCGAUGGCGACAGUGGGGACCUCGGCGAUCAUCACGCGCCGGAGCGCGUUGGCGACGCUGGCGUCGGU